ACUAUAACUUAUGAUGGGCCUUUGAAAACACUAUGAGAAGCCCAUCAUAAUUUAGAUUUCUUCUUCUUCUCGCAAGACAGUCGACGAUUUUUUUUCCAGAACUAAAGCGACGAUACGAUCUCUCCCGUGAUGUCUCAACCUCCCAUUAAUUCGUUUUUAACUCCGUUUUUUGUGUGAUUAGCAAUAAAAAGCAUUCAAUCAACCCUUGCAUCUCACAUUAACCGACGGAGACUCCGGCUAUAAAUCUCUGAAUUCCCAGCGAUUGAACAACACAACUUCUCCCAAAUCAAGAAGAAUAGUCUCUGCUAUUACAAACUCCUACAAUGGCGAAUUCCUUCAUCCUUAUUUCAGAUCUGAAAGCUGGCUGCUCUAACACGGCAGAUAUCCGUUUGCUGAGGUUCUGGGAGAAUGUCAAGAAAGGUGGAGAGUGUGGACAUGCUCCUCCUCGAUGAGAAGUCUACGCUUAUCAAGGAACCAUCAGGGCCAACCACCUCACCACGUUUCGACAUCGUUUCAGUGACCAUGACGAGGAAGUCUUCAGUUUCCACAGUGACAUGUGACAAGAGGUUUCGCUAUGACCCAGGGAGAAUUCAGUCAAGAAGAGAAAGCAACUAUAGACACCAUUGUUAACCAGAGUCAGUGUUGUAGAUAGGCCAUUGGCAGACAUAAGGAAGUUCAAUGACAUGAUCCCAAAGCCUGAAUUCAAUAACUUUCAGAGAUCAUGAAGAGAGAUUCAUCAGAGUUAGCCAAAGAAACUGCAUUUGCACUUGCUGCUCUAAACUUCAAGUUUUGUGAUUCUCCUGUCGCUAUUAGUUUCACUGAGCAAACAUGAGGGACACAUUCUCUCUGAAGCCAAACUUCAUGGCCACCUCUCACCAGACGCCGAAGACAGAAAAAAGAUCCCACGACCAUCGUUUGUGUUUGUUUUUUCUAGCUUUGAAAAUCUAAUUCAAUGUGUUUGGAUAGUUAUCUUUUGCAUCAAAUACUGGUUCUUUUCUAUAGGUUUGCAUAUCAAUUAAGAGUUAUUUGUAAUCUUUUGUAAAAGCCUAACGUUUUCAACUUUUUUCUUGCUAAGCUUUUAUGGUGUACUUAGUUUUUGAAAAAAAGCUUUUAAUUUAACUCGCUGGUCCUGUAACAUAUGAGUAUCUUGCAUCAUUCUGGCUUGUGAGUUGUGACUAAAUAUUAUUACUUUCGAAUCGUUGGCACAAAGAUGUUGUACUAGAAAAUUAAUAAGCUUUUGGUCUCA